UCAGCAGCCCGGGUAAUUCCAGCUCCAAUAGCGUAUAUUAAAGUUGUUGUGGUUAAAAAGCUCGUAGUUGAACCUUGGGCCUGGCUGGCCGGUCCGCCUCACCGCGUGCACUGGUCCGGCCGGGCCUUUCCCUCUGCGGAACCCCAUGCCCUUCACUGGGUGUGGCGGGGAAACAGGACUUUUACUUUGAAAAAAUUAGAGUGCUCAAGGCAGGCCUAUGCUCGAAUACAUUAGCAUGGAAUAAUAGAAUAGGACGUGUGGUUCUAUUUUGUUGGUUUCUAGGACCGCCGUAAUGAUUAAUAGGGACAGUCGGGGGCAUCAGUAUUCAAUUGUCAGAGGUGAAAUUCUUGGAUUUAUUGAAGACUAACUACUGCGAAAGCAUUUGCCAAGGAUGUUUUCAUUAAUCAGGAACGAAAGUUAGGGGAUCGAAGACGAUCAGAUACCGUCGUAGUCUUAACCAUAAACUAUGCCGACUAGGGAUCGGACGAUGUUACAUUUUUGACGCGUUCGGCACCUUACGAGAAAUCAAAGUGCUUGGGCUCCAGGGGGAGUAUGGUCGCAAGGCUGAAACUUAAAGAAAUUGACGGAAGGGCACCACCAGGGGUGGAGCCUGCGGCUUAAUUUGAUCAAACCCACGGGA
rnacentral:rRNA from 1 species